UACGGAGGAUCCAAGCGUUAUCCGGAAUCAUUGGGUUUAAAGGGUCCGUAGGCGGGUAGCUAAGUCAGUGGUGAAAUCCUGCAGCUCAACUGCAGGACUGCCAUUGAUACUGGUUGCCUUGAAUUAAUGUGAAGUGGUUAGAAUAUGCAGUGUAGCGGUGAAAUGCUUAGAUAUUUCAUAGAAUACCAAUUGCGAAGGCAGGCCACUAACAUUACAUUGACGCUGAUGGACGAAAGCGUAGGUAGCGUACAGG
rnacentral:rRNA from 1 species